rnacentral:lncRNA from 1 species
UUGCCCCUCCCUAGUUCCUAUUUUCUUACACAUAGUUACAUUUCUUCCUUGCUAUAUAAACCCCUAAUUUUAAUUGGUCAGGAAAUGGAUUUGAGAUUGAUCUCCCAUCCCCUCAGCUGCAGCACCCAAUUAAAGCCUUCUUCCUUGGCAACACUCGUUGUCUCAGUGAUUGGCUUUCUGUGCAGCAAGCAGCAGAACCUAGACCAAACCCCUUGUGUUUCAGUAACAAGUAGACACCGACUGGUAUUCAGGGACAGGUCUG